rnacentral:rRNA from 1 species
AAACUAACAAGGAUUCCCCUAGUAACGGCGAGUGAAGCGGGAAUAGCUCAGCACCGAAUCUCCCGGCCCUUGUCGGUCGGAGAGACAUGUGGUGUUCGAAACGAACGUACGGCCGUCCGCCACGAUCGGCGCACGCGUUCCUGUGAACGGGGCGUCGCCCGGUGAGGGUGAAAGGCCCGCAGGCGCGUCGAUCGGAGGGCCGUCGUCGUUUCUAGAGUCGGGUUGUUUGGGAACGCAGCCCUAAGCCGGAGGUAAAUUCCUUCUAAAGCUAAACACUGCCGCGAGUCCGAUAGAAAACAAGUACCGUGAGGGAAAGUUGAAAAGAACUUUGAAGAGAGAGUUAAAGAGUACGUGAAACCGUUUAGAGGUUAACGGUCGGAUCCGCGACAAGUUCCGCCUCGGAUUCAGCUCGCCGCCACGUCCCGUCGCCGGUCGAACACGACGCAGCGCUUCGGCGCACGGUCCUCUGUUCACCGGUGCACACGGCGACCGGCGGCUUGCGCAUUUCCCCGUGCGGAUGCGUCGGUACCGGCGGCCGGCUCGGUCAAGGAGCGUCGACGUCAGGUACCGCCGGGAGCCUUCGGGAACCCGGCGGACUUACAGGCGACGACACAGUGCUUCGAUUCCGAGCUGCCGUCGUGGCGUCAUCGGUCGAUGGCGGCCCCUCGCCGUCCGUCGUUCUACGAACGUCGGCGUCCUCUCGUCGCCUCUCGAGGCGACGGCGUCCCGGCAGUCCGGUCUGCGUGUACGGUAAAGGGCGCGGCGACCUAGCGUCGUCCGUCGCCUCCCGGCGGAAGAGCCUUCGCGGUUCGAAUCGUCGGGACCCGCGCGGCGAGCGACGAGCCACAGCGGCGCGACGAGGCAUCGGGGUACCGAACGAGCAAAGCGACAAUCCGACCUGCCCGUCUUGAAACACGGACCAAGGAGUCUAACAUGUGCGCGAGUCGAAGGGACUCACGAAACCCCGAGGCGCAGUGAAAGCGAGCCGGUCGACUAGCGCGACCAGCGGCACUGGCGAGACGGCGCGGUCGCCACAAAGACCCGUCGGCAUCGUCGGCCCGCGCCACUAGGUCGCCGCCUCUCGGGGCGGCGGCGGCGCGGAGCCGGAGCGUACACGUUGGGACCCGAAAGAUGGUGAACUAUGCUUGAGCCGGGCGAAGCCAGUGGAAACUCUGGUGGAGGCCCGUGGCGGUUCUGACGUGCAAAUCGAUCGUCGAACUUGAGCAUAGGGGCGAAAGACUAAUC